rnacentral:piRNA from 1 species
UUAUGGGUGUUCCCCUCCCCA